UGGUCUAUGGCAGAAAAAGGAGGGGGCACCCAAGAGUUGGGCACCCCUUGUCUUGCCCUGUUUUGAUUUUUCUUGACUGGGUAUUUGACCUAGACAAGGAUUCUUUAUAUCUCUUGAUUUAAGAUAAAUUUCUUUAGAAAAUUUUUAUGGAUUACAGAGUACUGAGAGACCUUUUGGGUAUGUGAAAAUUAGAGAGAGAGUGUUGGGGUGUGGAGAUAUAAUAGACACAAAACUAAGUGUCUGGGUUAGAGCAAAGAGAAGAAGAAGAGGGUCGUCUUCUAGGGUUGCUGAGUUCAUCUCUUCCCUUCCUCCAUCUGUGAGUUUUCUAAGAGUGUCUCAUAUCUAAAACUUCUUUUCCUACUUCUCAUCUUUGGAAGAGUCCAAAUCAAGAAGAAGGUGGCAUCUGAUCGACCAUCGAAGAAGGAUCAGCACAGUACUAGCAUAUUGUGCUGAUUUCCUAGACCAGGACUUCUGAUCGUGAUUCAUGGACUCGUGUGGAUGACUCUUAGAGGUCGGAUGCAUGUGCGGCUUGCAACAUCAUCCUCAAGCCUGGAUCAGCAAAGUUAGAAUGUCUAACUUGCAAGGUAAUAGAUCUGAUCUAUUAUAUUUUACAUACAUUAGAUGUAGUAUAGAAACAUGUUGAUAUGAUUAACAUGUAGUUCUUGCUCUUUAUAUUUUAAUUUCUGAUUUAAUGCCAUGUAAUAAUCAUGUAAUAGAAUCUUAGAUCUAGGGAUUCUCUGAUUUUAUAAGAUAAAUUUUGAUUUAUUUUAAUCUUCCGCUACUUGAUCUUAAAAAAGUUUCAAGAUCUAACCCUGAAACUCUAGAUCUGGUUCCUUCAAGAAGAUCCUUCC
rnacentral:lncRNA from 1 species